rnacentral:rRNA from 1 species
CCCUGGAACGGGACGCCGCAGAGGGUGAGAGCCCCGUACGGUCGGACGCCGAGCCUCUGUAAAGCUCCUUCGACGAGUCGAGUAGUUUGGGAAUGCUGCUCAAAAUGGGAGGUAAACCCCUUCUAAAGCUAAAUACCGGCCAGAGACCGAUAGCGCACAAGUAGAGUGAUCGAAAGAUGAAAAGCACUUUGAAAAGAGAGUUAAAAAGCACGUGAAAUUGUUAAAAGGGAAGCGCUUGCGACCAGACUUGCGCCCGUCGGAUCAACCGUCGCUUGCGGCGGCGCACUCCGGCGGGCUCAGGCCAGCAUCAGUUCGCCUGGGGGGAGAAAGGCGGCGGGAAUGUGGCUCUUCGGAGUGUUAUAGCCCGCCGUGUAAUACCCUCGGGUGGACUGAGGACCGCGCGUAUGCAAGGAUGCUGGCGUAAUGGUCGUCAGCGACCCGUCUUG